rnacentral:ncRNA from 2 species
GGUGGAACCAACCCACCGGUGCUGUCCUGCAGGGGAGAGCACCAAACCAACAUAAGGUGCUUUGGUAAAGAGCCAAGGUAUCGAGCGUUUUGGAAAAGGCUAUGCCGAGAGCUAGUCAGGU